rnacentral:rRNA from 1 species
CCUACGGGUGGCAGCAGUGGGGAAUAUUGCACAAUGGGCGCAAGCCUGAUGCAGCCAUGCCGCGUGUGUGAAGAAGGCCUUCGGGUUGUAAAGCACUUUCAGCGGGGAGGAAGGCGUUAAGGUUAAUAACCUUGUCGAUUGACGUUACCCGCAGAAGAAGCGCCGGCUAACUCCGUGCCAGCAGCCGCGGUAAUACGGAGGGUGCAAGCGUUAAUCGGAAUUACUGGGCGUAAAGCGCACGCAGGCGGUCUGUCAAGUCGGAUGUGAAAUCCCCGGGCUCAACCUGGGAACUGCAUUCGAAACUGGCAGGCUAGAGUCUUGUAGAGGGGGGUAGAAUUCCAGGUGCAGCGGUGAAAUGCGUAGAGAUCUGGAGGAAUACCGGUGGCGAAGGCGGCCCCCUGGACAAAGACUGACGCUCAGGUGCGAAAGCGUGGGGAGCAAACAGGAUUAGAUACCCCAGUAGUC